GCUUAACACAUGCGAGUCGAAUGUUUCCUCGAACAUGGCGAACGGGUGAGUAAUAUAUAAGAAGUUACCUUUUGGUUCGGGUUAAAAAACCGAAUAUAAAAAAAGAAUAAGUUCGCCAUUAGAUACGCUUAUACAAGAUUAGGUAGUUGGUUAGGUAAAAGCUAACCAAGCCGACGAUCUUUAGUUGAUUUGAAAGAAUGAUCAACCACACUGGGACUGAGACAAGGCCCUGGCUUUUUUUAGAGCCAGCAGUGAGGAAUAUUGGACAAUGAGCGAAAGCUUGAUCCAGUGAUGCUACGUGAGGGAAUACAGCUUAUUGGCUUUAAACCUCUUCUAUUAAGGAAUAUAAUGACUUACUUAAUAAAAAAGU
rnacentral:rRNA from 1 species